rnacentral:rRNA from 1 species
AUUGAACGCUGGCGGCAGGCCUAACACAUGCAAGUCGAACGCGUGGCGGACGGGUGAGUAAUGUCUGGGAAACCGCCUGAUGGAGGGGGAUAACUACUGGAAACGGUAGCUAACACCGUAUAACAUCGGAUGCGCCCAGAUGGGAUUAGCUAGUCGGUGGGGUAAAGGCUCACCUAGGCGACGAUCCCUAGCUGGUCUGAGAGGAUGACCAGCCACACUGGAACUGAGACACGGUCCAGACUCCUACGGGAGGCAGCAGUGGGGAAUAUGGCACAAUGGGAGCAAGCCUGAUACAGCCAUGCCGCGUGUGUGAAGAAGGCCUUCGGGUUGUAAAGUACUUUCAGCGGGGAGGCGUUACCCGCAGAAGAAGCACCGGCUAACUCCGUGCCAGCAGCCGCGGUAAUAC